CCGGAAAGUUCGUCAAACUGAGUCAUUUAGAGGAAGUAAAAGUCGUAACAAGGUCUCCGUAGGUGAACCUGCGGAGGGAUCAUUA
rnacentral:rRNA from 1 species